rnacentral:tRNA from 1 species
UUAAUUAAAACCAAAAAGAGGUAUAUUAUUGUUAAUAAUAUUAUUGAUUAAAUAAUCUAAUUAAA